CUUUAAGAGAAUCUACAACCUAAAACACAUUCAUGUCUACACAGAAACACGGUAUCAUUCUCCUCAGAAAAUAACAUUUUCUCUAUUCUCCACUUCAUCAGGACAUACAGUACAGUAGUAAAGUAGUACACGCUCAGGGCCAAAUCUGAACUUGAUCUGCAUGUGUGCAUAACUUUUCAUGAACGUCUGCCAGUGACAUUCAUAGGCUACAUGAUUUAGGGGAAAGUCAAGGUAAUGCGUGCAGAAAUUAAAUGAUAAGGAUAAGCCUGGAUAGCGCUACAAAAAAAGUGAUACAUUUUUGUUUAACUAAAUCAGAUGGACUGGGCAUAUUCAGGAUAGCCUGAACACAGAUGCAACAUAACAUUUAUGGGUAGCACUUUAGUAUACAGUGCUGAAAUAAGAGUUUAACGUCCGGAAAGUACCAGGAAACAACAGUGACGUAAGUCAGAAACAACCAGGUGAGAACGUGGUAGUUACUCAUUAAAAGUUAGUUUGUUGCUGCUAAAUAUUGAUAUAAAGAGUGAUGAAUCCAUUUGUAUUUGUCACAUGCGCACAAUACAACAAGUGUAGACCUUACUGUGAAAUGCUAACUUACAAGUCGUUAACUUACAUGUCGUCCAGUUAAGAGAAAUAAGAGUUAAGAAAAUAUUAACUAAAUAAACUAAAGUGAAAAAAUUAACAAGAACGAGGAUAUAUCCAGGGGGUACCGGUACCGAGUCAAUGUGCGGGGGUACAGGCUAGUCAAGGUAAUUGAGGCAACAUGUACAUGUACAGUGCAUUCGGAAAGUAUUCAGACCCCUUGUCUUUUUCCACAUUUUGUUAUGUUAAAGCCUUAUUCUAAAAUGUAUUAAACAUUUUUCCCCCCUCAUGAGUCUACACACAAUAGCCCAUAAUGACAACGCAAAACAGAUUUUUAGACAGAUUUUUAGAAAUGUAUAAAAAACACUGUAAAUAACUUAUUUACAUAAGUAUUCAGACCCUUUACUCAGUUAUUUGUUGAAGCACCUUUGGCUGCAAUUCUAGCCUCGAGUUUUCUUGGCUAUGACGCUACAAGCUUGGCAAACCUGUAUUUGGCCAGUUUCUCCCGUUCUUCUCUGCAGAGUCUCUCAAGCUCUGUCAGGUUGGAUGGGGAGCGUCGCUGUACAGGUAUUUUCAGGUCUCUCCAGAGAUGUUCUGUCGGGUUCAUGUCCGGGCUCUGGCUGGGCCACUCAAGGACAUUCAGAGACUUGUCCCGAAGCCACUCCUGCGUAGUAUUGGCUGUGUGCUUAGGGUCAUUGUCCUGUUGGAAGGUGAACCUUCACCCCAGUCUGAGGUCCUGAGAGAUCUGGAGCAGGAUUUCAUCAAGGAUCUCUCUGUUCUUUGCUCCUUUCAUCUUUCCCUCGAUCCUGAUUAGUCUCCCAGUCCCUGCCGCUGAAAAACAUCCCCACAGCAUGAUGCUGCCACCACCAUGCUUUACCAUAGGGAUGGCGCCAGGUUUCCUUCAGAUGUGAUGCUUGCCAUUCAGGCCAAAAAGUUCAAUAUUGGUUUCAUCAGACCAGAGAGUCUUGUUUCUCAUGGUCUGUGUCCUUGAGGUGCCUUUUGGCAAACUCCAAGCGGGCUGUCAUGUUCCUUUUACUGAGGAGUGGCUUCCGUCUGGCCACUCUACCAUAGAAGCCAGAUUGGCAGAGUACUGCAGAGAUGGUUGUCCUUCUGGAAGGUUCUCCCAUCUCCACAUAGGAACUCUGGAGCUCUGUCAGAGUGACCCAAUGGUUCUUGGUCAACUCCCUGACCAAGGCCCUUCUCGCCCGAUUGCUCAGUCAGGCCAGCUCUAGGAAGAGUCUUGGUGGUUCCAAACUUCUUACAUUUAAGAUUGAUGGAGGCCUCUGUGUUCUUGGGUACCUUCAAUGCUGCAGACAUUUUUUGGUACCCUUCCCCAGAUCUGUGCCUCGACACAAUCUUAUCUCGACGCUCUACUGACAAGUCCUUCAACCUCAUGGCUUGGUUUUUGCUCUGACAUUCACUGUCAACUGUGGGACCUUAAAUAGACAGGUGUGUGACUUUCCAAAUCAUGCCCAAUCAAUUGAGUGUACCACAGGUGGACUCAAGUUGUAGAAACAUCUCAAGGAUGAUCAGUGGAAACAGGAUGCACCUGGGCUCAAUUUCGAGUCUCAUAGCAAAGGGUCUGAAUACUUUGUAAAUAAGGCAUUUCUGUUCCAACAUAAAAAAAAAACUGUUUUCACUUUCUAAUUAUGGGGUAUUGUGUGUAGAUUGAUGAGGGGGAAAUAAAAUAAAAAUAGCUAUUUUAGAAUCAGACUGAAAUGUAACAAAAUGUAGAAAAAGUCCACAUUGAAUACAUGAAUACUUUCCAAAUGCACUGUAGGUAGGGGAAAAUGUACAAUGCAUAGAUAAUAAACAGUGGGUAGCAGCAGAAUAUAAAAAGUCUAGGUCAAUGCUAAUAGUCCAGGAAACCAUUUGUUUAACUUUUCAGCAGUCUUAUGGUUUGGGGGUAGAAGCUGUUAAGGAACCUUUUGGAGCUAGACUUGGCGCUCUGGUCGUGCUUACCAUGAGGCAGCAGAGAGAACAGUCUAUAACUAGGGUGUCUGGAGUCUUUGACAAUUUUAGGGCCUUCUUUUGACACCUCCUGGUAUAGAAGUCCCGGAUGGCAGGAAGCUUGGUCCCGGUGAUGUACCCUCUGUAACUCCUUGUGGUCUGCUGCCGAGCAGUUGCCAUACCAUGCAACCGGUCAGGAUGCUCCCGAUGGUGCAGCUGGUGAAUGUUUUGAGGAUCUGAGGACCCAUGCCAAAUCAUUUUCAGUCUCCUGAGGGGGAAUUGGCAUUGUCGUGCCCUCUUCACGACUGUCUUGGUGUGUAUGUACCAUGAUAGUGUCGUGACAUGACUAUCAUUAAUGUGUUGAUGGCUAUUUUAUCAAAUCAAUUAACUGUGUUGAAUUAAUACAUUAUUAACAAUGAACUCAUUAGUAAGUUGGGGCACCAUGGGAAAAGUUUGUUUUAUGAGUUACUGUUUCCCGAAUUAACUGAAGAAUAUAUUAGAAUAUGUCAUACCAGUCAUCCAUUAAUAAUUAUUUCCUCAUAUCAGUCUCAUUCUAACAUUGCAAAAUUCUUGGAUAUCUGCAGGAACCCAAGUCUAAAUAAGGAUUCAGAGAUGCACAAAUCGGUUUAAUUAUUUAUUUACUAACUAAAUGAUCACACAGACAUACACAAACAGUAUAGGUUGAAUUGAUUUCUAACAUAAUGCAAUGAAAGGUCCCUAGUGGACUAACUCGAUAUGAUGGCUUGUUACACCGUGAAAGGGGUGGGGACAGAAAGAGUGGGAGAGACAGAGAGUUGGAAAAAUAUGCUCAUGGGAAUGUGAAUACAUUUCACAUGAAUGACUGCUCAUUCGAAAAUAAUUGCAAUGUAUAUAUUCAUGCUUGUAUGGUUUUGUCGUUGCUCUCUGUUGACAUCGCCCGGCCCGUCUAUGGGGAGUCGUUCGACAGAAGUCUCUGGUUUGUCCACCAGAGGUAACGAUGUCUUUUGUAGUUGUAGUAGGCUUUCUUUGUCUCUGAGUGUUAGUUAGACUGGAUCCUUCAGAUAUACACACGCGGUGGUCUUUGGGUUGAGUUUACUAGACUAACAGUACUUAAACAGCUGCAGACUGAAUGUUCCGAUGUAGUCUUUAUUUCUAAACAUUUCGUAACGUUCAGCUCACGCUGUUGGUCACGCUGGUCUAUAUUUAAAUUGCAUCCAUUUCAACGUUUUUAGCCCGCGCUCCAUGCUUUCUGGUCUGUAUGUUAAUUAUUCAGCAAGUCCUUUUAAGCACUCGCCUUGGAGGGCGGUUUCUUCAUGUUGCCACAAAAUCACAUUUAAUCUUUUCACAAAUAGUUUCAUAUUUAAUCAUAUAAAGUUGGUGAAGACGAAUGUUCUGAAUGGACUCUAAAAUUGGAGCGGAGGAUACGUGUGUGAAUGAUAAGGAAUCGCUUCUAUUUGGGAUGCUUUUGUUGAGUAAGGGUGCAUAUGUGGGAGACCCGUUUGAGGUGUCGAAAAUGGUGAAGUAUGCACUGGGAAAAGUGGAGUUUGUCAGAGUGACCUGGAAUUGUUUAAUUUGGAUUAAUUGUAUUUAUGAAGAACAGAGAUUGCAGUGAGCCUUAAAAUAAUCUGGACAGGGCCUCCUGAGUGGCGCAGCGGUCUAAAGCACUGCAUCGCAGUGCUAGAGGCGUCAUUACAGACCCUGGUUCUGUGCCACAGCCAGCUGCGACCGGGAGGCCCAUGAGGCGACGUGCAAUUGGUCCAGCGUCGUCCGGGUUAGGGGAGGGUUUGGCCGGCCGGGUUGUCCUUGUCCCACUGCUUUAGAGACUUCUGUGGCGGGCCGGACGCAUGCACGCUGACUUCAGUCGCCAGUUGUACGGUGUUUCCUUCGACACAUUGGUGCGACUGGCUUCCGGGUUAAGCGAGCAGUGUGUCAAGAAGCAGUGUGGCUUGGCAGGGCUAUGUUUCGGAGGACGCAUGGAUCUCGAACCUUCGCCUCUCCCGAGUUUCAGCGAUGGGACAGGACUGUCACUAGCAAUUGGAUAUCACGAAAUUGGGGAGAAAAAGGGGGUAAAAAGUAAAAUAUAUAUAUAACAUCCGGACAAUAGAAGUUUUGUGUUUUAAACUUCGGAGUAGAUCACCCAUCAAAGGAGUCAUGUCCGAGGUGACGACGGAUGUUCAGGUUCAAUACCUGAAGAGAAUUCCUAGUGUGGUUGGUGCCCGCCGUUUAGUUUAGUUUAUUUAUUUAUUUUUGGAGUUUGCUAGUUUGUUCCAUUUUCAGGAAUCCUGUUUCCAUCCCGCACGGUAGUUGGUGGGAUGCACAUUAAAUUGCGCGAUCACCAUAUACCAUAGAAGAAGAAGACAUGUUUUGAGAAGAAUAAACAUUAUGAAAUGGACGAAAGAGGACAAUGUAUUGGCAGGACAAAACACUCUUUCCCGACUGGUGUGAGGUCUAUCUACAGGUGACCAGGUGGACCUCUUCACCAGGCAGGCCUUCGCUGCAGUCUUACAUCACCAGCAAAGGUCUCUGAUGAGGUACUUUAUAUUAAGAUUGUGCUUCCAACCUGCCGCCAGGAUAUCUCAGCAUCCACGAGGGCAUCAUCAAGGUAAGGGUAGGAGAGGGGAAGGUAGGACAGAGAAGGGACGGGGAAGGGAAUAUAAUAGAAUUCUGAGUGAUUCACAUUUAAACGUCAUCCAUGUAAACCACUGCCUCCGACCAGUAAUGGUCUCUACUCAGCCUCAAUAAAGAUGUAGCUGUUUUCCGGGUUCCUUAGAUACUAUGUUUUUUAUUCAGCAUUCUGGUCCAGUGAUUAAAUGGGUUGAUGUAGGGAAGCCAUUAUUAGGUGUCAACUCACCUGGUCCCUACUGAGUGUCUACACACAGGUCUGUACUACUCACCAAAUCAGUAAGGGUGUGUCUGUGACAAAUCUAAUUGUAUUUGUCACGUGCGCCGAAUACAACAGGUGAAAUGUUUACUUUACAAGCCCCUAACCAACAAUGCAGUAAAAAAAUAAGUAAUAAUAAUAAUAAUAAGAAGAAGAAGAAAUACAAGUAAAAAGUAAUUAAAGAGCAGCAGUAAAAUAACAAUAGUGAGACUAUAUACAGCGGGGUACCUGUACAGAGUCAAUGUGCAGGGGCACCGGUUAGCUGAGGUAAUAUGUACAUGUGGGUAGAGUUAUUAAAGUGGCUAUGCAUAGAUGAUAACAACAGAGAGUAGCAGCUGUGUAAAAGAGGGAGGGGCAAUGCAAAUAGUCUGGGUAGCAAUUUGAUUAGGUGUUCUGGAGUCUUAUGGCUUGACGGUAGAAGCUGUUUAGAAGCCUCUUGGACCUAGACUUGGCGUUCCGGUACCGCUUCCCGUGCGGUAGCAGAGUGACCAGCCUAUGACUAGGGUGGCUGGAGUUUUCACGACUGUCUUGGUGUGCUUGGACCAUGUUAGUUUGUUGGUGAUGUGGACACCAAGGAACUUCAAGCUCUCAACCUGCGCCACUACAGCCCUGUCCAUGAGAAUGGGGGCGUGCUUGGUCCUCUUUUUCCUGUAGUCCACAGAGAGGUUGUUUUCCUGACACAACACGGCCAGGUCUCUGACCUCCCUAUAGGCUGUCUCGUCGUUGUCGGUGAUCAGGCCUACCACUGUUGUGUCAUUGGCAAACUUAUUGAUGGUGUUGGAGUCGUGCCUGGCCGUGCAGUUAUGAGUGAACAGGGAGUACAGGAGGGGACUGAGCACGCACCCCUGAGGGGCCCCUGUGUUGAGGAUCAGCGUGGCGGAUGUGUUGUUACCUACCCUUACCACCUGGGGGCGGCCUGUCAGGAAGUCCAGGAUCCAGUUGCAGAGGGAGGUGUUUAGUCCCAGGGUCCUUAGCUUAGUGAUGAGCUAUGAAGGCACUAUGGUGUUGAACACUGAGCUGAUGUCAAUGAAUAGCAUUCUCACAAAGGUGUUCCUUUUGUUCAGGUGGGAAAAGGAAGUAUGGAGUACAAUAGAGAUUGCAUCAUCUGUGGAUCUGUUAGGGCGGUAUGCAAAUUGAGUGGGUCUAGGGUUUAUGGGAUAAUGGUGUUGAUGUGAGCCAUGACCAACCAAUGUGAGUGCUACGGGUCGAUAGUCAUUUAGGCAGCUUACCUUAGUGUUCUUGGGCACCGGGACUGUGGUGGUCUGCUUAAAACAUGUUGGUAUUCCAGACUCAGACAGGGAGAGGUUGAAAAUGUCAUUGAAGACACUUGCCAGUUGGUCAGCGCAUGCUUGCAGUACACAUCCUGGUAAUCCGUCUGGCAGCCUUGUGGAUGUUGACCUGUCUAAAGGUCUUCCUCACAUUGGCUGCUGAGAGCGUUCCUCACAUGCUCUUCCGGAACAGCUGGUGCUCUCAUGCAUGUUUCAGUGUUAUUUGCCUCGAAGCGAGCAUAGACGUAGUUUAGCUUGUCUGGUAGGCUCGUGUUACUGGUUUGCAAGCCCUGCCACAUUCAACGAGCGUCAGAGCCGUUGUAGUACGAUUCGAUCUUAGUCCUGUAUUGAUGCUUUUCCUUUUUGAUGGUUCGUCUGAGUCCUGCUCCUUGAAUGAGGCAGCUCUAGCCUUUAGCUCAGUGCGGAUGUUGCCUGUAAUCCAUGGCUUCUGGUUGGGGUAUUACGUACAGUCACUGUGGGGACAACGUCAUCGAUGCACUUAUUGAUGAAGCCAAUGACUGAUGUGGUGUACUCCUCAAUGCUUAGACUUGGUGCUCCAGUACCGAUUGCUGUGCGGUAGCAGGGAGAACAGUCUAUGACUAGGGUGGCUGGAGUCUUUGACAAUUUUUAGGGCCUUCCUCUGACACCGCCUGGUAUAGAGGUCCUGGAUGGCAGGAAGCUUGGCCCCGGUGAUGUACUGGGCCAUGCGCUCUACCCUCUGGAGUACCUUGAGGUCGGAGGCCGAGCAGUUGCCAUACCAGGUAGUGAUGUUUUUUUUUAUAAACCAGAUUUGCUGUUCACUUGAGCAAUAUGAGAUGGAAGAGUUCCGUGCAAUAAUGGCUCUAUAUAAUACUGUACACUUUCUUGAUAUUUUAAAUAGGUUGAAAGCUAAGAUUAAUACUGGCUGUUCCUCUGUUUCCAGAGUGAUGGUUCAUAUUGUAGCUCACGAGUAGGGACUGGAACAUCAUCUCAGGUCCUAUGUGAAGUUUGUGUUCAAGCCAGAGCCGAACUCAGCCAGUGGGAUCCCUAACCCUCAGAGUGUCAUUGAGGAGCUGGCUAAAGCCAUGACAGCCAACCUCAACCCCUCCACUUACUUCCUCACCAGCAACAAACUGCUACUCGUGGUACUUCGUAGAAGCCCUGGUGAAGUCUAUGGCCCAGCAUAGGACCCAGAGUGGUAAAUUCAACCUGUCUAGCAAACCAAGUUUCUCUGCCUUCCUUCCACCACACAGUAGAGAAAAAUGCAGAGGCCUCACAUCAACAAGAACUGCAAGGACAAACUGGAUGCUUCCCGAAACGCCAACCACAGUCUGGCAGUCUUGGAGUGCCAUAGACAGCCAACAAAACAGUUGUUGGUUUCAUUCAGAAAAUUGCCACAUUUAGUUCUAUGGUAAUGCUAUUUUCAUGUUAUGAGGACUGAUGACUUAUUGUAUGCUACACGCAGCAAAAUAAAUAUGUGCACCCUAUACUAUCAGGGUAGAUUAUUGGUGUUUCUUGUGCUAUGUAGCAACUAUUUGCUAGUAAUUUAAAUAAUAAACAACUGUAUUCUGUCCUAUUAAUGUAGUUCCGUUUAGGAAAUGAGUAUCUUCAUUAUUUAUUAUUGUAGUGUUAAUCUACCUGUGAAAAUCUGAAGAAAACAGAAACUAAGGUGAACGUAAUAGUAAUUUAAACAAUAACAGGGAAACAGAGCAUUGCUUUAGAAUACAGUGUCAAGACCCCAUAGGUACACUGAAGCUAUGGGGAAACUGUACAGAAAGUAAGCUACACUGAAACAAUGGACAUAGUAAUUGACACGGUAACGGGAACAGGGCAUUGCUUUAGAAUACAGUGUCAAGGCCCCACAGGUACACUGAUACUAUGGGGAAACUAUCCAGGAAGAAACAGUAAGGCACACAAACUGAUGAAAGUAGUAAGGAAUCUAAUAGUAAUUUACAGGGGAACAGAGCGUUGCUUUAGAAUACAGUGUCUUGGCCCCAUAGGUACACUGAAACAAUAUGGUGAAACUACGCCUAAAGUAACAAAUAAGGUACAUAAUAUGUACUUAAGUACAGUGCUGAAAUAACUGUACAAUGAUCGGAAAGUAAUCGGAAACAAGACAAAAGGCAGCUAGCUACAAGCAAAGACCUAAAAGGGACGUUUUUAGGAUGGUCCACAUAAAGCAUAAGUGAAAGCUCCAUGUACAUUCGUAAUAAGUAUACCCUCUAUUAUUGAUAGUUCUUUAUGUUCCUACAUAACAACCAGGAUAAUUCAUCACUCUUUAUAUCAGUACUUAGCAGCUACAAACAACAUAUGAAUGGAUAAUUGGUGUUCAUGCCUGGUUGUUGCCAUCUUAUUUCAUUGUUUUUUUCAAGGUACUUUCCAGACAUCACCCUCUUAUUCAGCUAUCCUUGUGACCUAAGCCACCCUGCUAUUUCCUGUUUCCUGUGUUCCUCCGCCCUCGAAUUAGAGGAGAGCUGAGUAAAUGUAACCCAAUCAGCUUCAAGCUUUCAGCCUCUCUAGUAAUAGUAUUUUAUGUUCUCUUCCUGUGCAGGGGGAUUAUUUGAUAAAACAAUGAAUUUGUCCUUACUGCCAUUAGCCCAUAGAAACACAUUCAAUA